rnacentral:tRNA from 10 species
GGGUCUGUAGCUCAGUUGGUUAGAGCACCGCACUCAUAAUGCGGGGGUCACAAGUUCAAGUCUCGUCAUAGCCACCA